UCAUGGGAUUAUACCGAAAUUGGAUGUAUAUCGCCAAUAUUUGACAUUGAUUCUACUUCAGUGGCAAAUUAACCCACCAUUCUAAACUUUAAUGAACUUGAAUAACAAAUCGACUACACGAAAUAAAGUAAAAAAUCGUUUGCCACUGUUCCUAAUGGAACGUUGAUUGGCAAUCUUGUAUUUGAGAAUAAAAUCAUAACUGUACCAAGUUUCAACACAAUCGAAAUAUAUGUGGAAACGGUAACCGUUCAAUAUUCAGGCCCCAAGAGUCGAUAUUUUCCCUUAGUUUUCCCGAAGAGUCGGGUGUCGGAAUAGCAAUUAAAAUUCGGGAUAAUCCCGAUCAUCUGCCAAGCCUAUAGUCACCAACCCAUUCCAAAGUUUAGAAAAUGCUGAAUCGAUGCAGAACGUUGUGGCAAUCAAGAAACCUAGAUUGCCGAAAACGUACCCCAUGACGUUCGCCAUUUUAUAAUGUAUUCGUGAUUUUGAUUAACGCUCUCAGUGUACAAGAACGUGCAUAUUCUAUUUGACAUACCUUCGCGUUGCCUAUUUGUGUUUUACUUAUUUUGUAGAGGGCAACGUUUUUAUUUUGUAUUGCUUUGAGCGACUAUAAUACAAUAUGUUGUUCGUAACUUACCUGUAAAGAGAAAAAAGAGAAUACGACAAAUAUUAAAAAUGGGGAAAAGGAAGCAAGCAACUAUUUCGAUUCUAUUGUUUUGAUGCUUUGCGGUGCAGAGCAGCGCAGCGCAGCACAGUGAGUACAGAGUGGUGAUCAGCUGAUUGUGAGUCGAUCUUUUUGAAUGUUUAGUGGUGAGAACGGGUUUUUGGUUGCUUAUUUAAAGAAUACAUCUGUUCGUUUUUGUUUUCUAAAAAUCCACUGACACUUCCUACCCAUGCACACACAGAAUUUCCCCCCAAGUGCAUAGUUGUCGGACAACACAUUGAAUAAUUUUGUAUUGUAUGAAAUGGGGUUUAAGUUUUUUUCUGGGCUAUGAUCAAUGAUAGCAACGAAUAUCAUACCUAACCUAUUAGCUUUUGUUGUAAUCAAUUUGCCAUAUGACGGUGGUGGAGUGACGACUGACUUUGAAAAUGAUAACCAAAACCGCGACGAACGAAUACAAUGAUGGAAAUCAUAAUAAUUGCCACAAACAUAUGUAUGAAUACUCAUAAAUAAAUAUGUAUGUAUACCUAUCUCCACUUUGAUAAAAAAUA